rnacentral:tRNA from 1 species
GCCGGAGUAGCUCAGUUGGUAGAGCAGCGGUAUCGUAAACCGCAGGUCGCCGGUUCAAACCCGGCCUCCGGCU